UCUGUCAGGGCCUGAUCCAAAGCUCCCUGAAAUCAGUGGGAGACUUUUCCAUUGACUUCCGUGGGUUUUGGAUCAGGCCCGAGGGGA
rnacentral:pre_miRNA from 1 species